rnacentral:rRNA from 1 species
GUCACGGCUUAACUACGUGCCAAGCAGCCGCGGUAAUACGUAGGUGGCAAGCGUUGUCCGGAUUUAUUGGGCGUAAAGCGAGCGCAGGCGGAAGAAUAAGUCUGAUGUGAAAGCCCUCGGCUUAACCGAGGAACUGCAUCGGAAACUGUUUUUCUUGAGUGCAGAAGAGGAGAGUGGAACUCCAUGUGUAGCGGUGGAAUGCGUAGAUAUAUGGAAGAACACCAGUGGCGAAGGCGGCUCUCUGGUCUGCAACUGACGCUGAGGCUCGAAAGCAUGGGUAGCGAACAGGAUUAGAUACCCUGGUAGUCCAUGCCGUAAACGAUGAGUGCUAAGUGUUGGGAGGUUUCCGCCUCUCAGUGCUGCAGCUAACGCAUUAAGCACUCCGCCUGGGGAGUACGACCGCAAGGUUGAAACUCAAAGGAAUUGACGGGGGCCCGCACAAGCGGUGGAGCAUGUGGUUUAAUUCGAAGCAACGCGAAGAACCUUACCAGGUCUUGACAUCUAGUGCCAUUUGUAGAGAUACAAAGUUCCCUUCGGGGACGCUAAGACAGGUGGUGC